GAGAGAGAGGGAGACACAGAAUCGGAAGCAGGCUCCAGGCUCCGAGCUGGCGGCACAGAGCGUGAUGUGGGGCUUGAACCCACAUCAUGACCCGAGCCAAAGUCUCAGCUGAACCACCGACUGAACCACCCAGGUGCCCUGAAUGUCAUUCUAAUGUUAACAAAUAUUCAUAAAGUGGCUUUCCAUGUGUGUUCCCCUCACAGCCCUGGUGAUCUAUAACUAUGCUGUGACAUUGUGACAAGCUGGCUAAUGUGACCGUCAGUGCUCUCCCAGCUCUUGGGGGGAGUUGGAUUUGGGCACCUGAAUGUCUUUUUUGCUUCACGGAGGAUUACCUUGUCAGAAAGAGGUGGCUAGACCUCCAGGACCUGGUAACCAUAGCAACUAUGCACGCCUGACCUUGUGGGUUCUUUAAGACACCUCCCCAGACCUUUCCCAGACGGAUCUUUUCAAGCUUUCCCCAAACUGUUAGUGGCAUUCUUAGACGGGCUUAGCCCUAACAUGCAGGGCACUUCAGGAGUAUUGACCUGACUGCCUUUUCCAGGUACCUAAACAACACUCCAUGGGGAACAGGAGGAGCUGGAAAAAUUGGGAAAGCGAGAAGAACAACACGAGCAGAAUCUCGCCAAGGAAAUAAAGCACCUGCUUUUGAUCACUAAGAACAGAAGAUAAAAUGCUCACAUUCGAGAAUGCAAUCAACUCACUAUGUUUCUGUGUCGGAUGUUCUCAGAACACACAGACCCGACUACGGCAUGAUGCCCUAGGAAGUGGGCUCUGUAGUGCUUCAGGAUAAUGCGUCGGCCUAAGCAGACAAAUUUUCUUCAGACAGUGCUUAUGGGGCACACCUUUCCUGCGAGGAAGAAACUGAGGACCAGAAAGUUGCAUAACUUGUUCAAGGUCUCCCUUGAGAGAACAGAGGACUUGGGAGCUGAGCCAAGGAACGUCUGGCCGGCAUGAGCUUAUUGUGUCUGGGGCCAGCUGAGCUGAACGUGGGCUCCUUUGUGGCUUCUCCAUCGCUGGCCAGCAGGCUGGCCUUCUGUUUCUCCUCCGGAAACCUUGCACACUCCUUUGAUUCAUGGUGUUAAUGGAAAACCUGUAGCUGGUGGUCCGUACAUCUGCUAGAGAAACAUUUUUCACAGAGCUCACCUCAUCUGGGGACCAUGUGUCCAGGAGAGUUACCGGUUUUUGGCAAAGGGCACAUCCAGACCCAUGUGCCAGCGUUACCCUCUGGGACAUCUGGUUACCAACUAAUGACAGGCAGCCAGGUAUCCUUUCCUCCAGUCGUACAUGCAGUCUUUUCUUCACCUUUGCAACCUCAUUAUGGCUAAAGCAGACAUUUAUCACCCCUGGGAAG